AUUGAACGCUGGCGGAAUGCUUUACACAUGCAAGUCGAACGGCAGCACGGACUUCGGUCUGGUGGCGAGUGGCGAACGGGUGAGUAAUGUAUCGGAACGUGCCCAGUCGUGGGGGAUAACGUAGUGAAAAUUACGCUAAUACCGCAUACGAUCUAUGGAUGAAAGCGGGGGAUCGCAAGACCUCGCGCGAUUGGAGCGGCCGAUAUCAGAUUAGGUAGUUGGUGGGGUAAAGGCCCACCAAGCCAACGAUCUGUAGCUGGUCUAAGAGGACGACCAGCCACACUGGAGCUGAGACACGGUCCAGACUCCUACGGGAGGCAGCAGUGGGGAAUUUUGGACAAUGGGCGAAAGCCUGAUCCAGCCAUUCCGUGUGCAGGAUGAAGGCCCUCGGGUUGUAAACUGCUUUUGUACAGAACGAAAAGGUUUCUACUAAUACUAGGAGCUCAUGACGGUACUGUAAGAAUAAGCACCGGCUAACUACGUGCCAGCCGCCGCGGUAA
rnacentral:rRNA from 1 species